rnacentral:rRNA from 1 species
UUUAUGGAGAGUUUGAUCCUGGCUCAGGAUGAACGCUGGCGGCGUGCCUAAUACAUGCAAGUCGAGCGAACGGACGAGAAGCUUGCUUCUCUGAUGUUAGCGGCGGACGGGUGAGUAACACGUGGAUAACCUACCUAUAAGGCUGGGAUAACUUCGGGAAACCGGAGCUAAUACCGGAUAAUAUUUUGAACCGCAUGGUUCAAAAGUGAAAGACGGUCUUGCUGUCACUUAUAGAUGGAUCCGCGCUGCAUUAGCUAGUUGGUAAGGUAACGGCUUACCAAGGCAACGAUGCAUAGCCGACCUGAGAGGGUGAUCGGCCACACUGGAACUGAGACACGGUCCAGACUCCUACGGGAGGCAGCAGUAGGGAAUCUUCCGCAAUGGGCGAAAGCCUGACGGAGCAACGCCGCGUGAGUGAUGAAGGUCUUCGGAUCGUAAAACUCUGUUAUUAGGGAAGAACAUAUGUGUAAGUAACUGUGCACAUCUUGACGGUACCUAAUCAGAAAGCCACGGCUAACUACGUGCCAGCAGCCGCGGUAAUACGUAGGUGGCAAGCGUUAUCCGGAAUUAUUGGGCGUAAAGCGCGCGUAGGCGGUUUUUUAAGUCUGAUGUGAAAGCCCACGGCUCAACCGUGGAGGGUCAUUGGAAACUGGAAAACUUGAGUGCAGAAGAGGAAAGUGGAAUUCCAUGUGUAGCGGUGAAAUGCGCAGAGAUAUGGAGGAACACCAGUGGCGAAGGCGACUUUCUGGUCUGUAACUGACGCUGAUGUGCGAAAGCGUGGGGAUCAAACAGGAUUAGAUACCCUGGUAGUCCACGCCGUAAACGAUGAGUGCUAAGUGUUAGGGGGUUUCCGCCCCUUAGUGCUGCAGCUAACGCAUUAAGCACUCCGCCUGGGGAGUACGACCGCAAGGUUGAAACUCAAAGGAAUUGACGGGGACCCGCACAAGCGGUGGAGCAUGUGGUUUAAUUCGAAGCAACGCGAAGAACCUUACCAAAUCUUGACAUCCUUUGACAACUCUAGAGAUAGAGCCUUCCCCUUCGGGGGACAAAGUGACAGGUGGUGCAUGGUUGUCGUCAGCUCGUGUCGUGAGAUGUUGGGUUAAGUCCCGCAACGAGCGCAACCCUUAAGCUUAGUUGCCAUCAUUAAGUUGGGCACUCUAAGUUGACUGCCGGUGACAAACCGGAGGAAGGUGGGGAUGACGUCAAAUCAUCAUGCCCCUUAUGAUUUGGGCUACACACGUGCUACAAUGGACAAUACAAAGGG